UACGGAGGGUGCAAGCGUUGUUCGGAAUCAUUGGGCGUAAAGCGCGUGUAGGCGGCUUGGUAAGUCGGGUGUGAAAUCCCGGGGCCCAACCCCGGAAUUGCACUCGAAACUGCCUCGCUAGAGUCCCGGAGAGGAAGGCGGAAUUCCCGGUGUAGAGGUGAAAUUCGUAGAUAUCGGGAGGAACACCAGCGGCGAAGGCGGCCUUCUGGACGGUGACUGACGCUCAGACGCGAAAGCGUGGGAAGCAAACCGG
rnacentral:rRNA from 1 species